CUACUAAUAGCUUAAAGAAAGCAAUGAUUUUGUAAAUCAUAGAUGUUUUUCUUAGUGGU
rnacentral:tRNA from 1 species